rnacentral:rRNA from 1 species
UGUAUUUAUUAGAUAAAAAACCAAUGCCCUUCGGGGCUUUUUGGUGAUUCAUGAUAACUUUACGGAUCGCAUAGCCUUGCGCUGGCGACGGUUCAUUCAAAUUUCUGCCCUAUCAACUUUUGAUGGUAAGGUAUUGGCUUACCAUGGUUUCAACGGGUAACGGGGAAUUAGGGUUCGAUUCCGGAGAGGGAGCCUGAGAAACGGCUACCACAUCCAAGGAAGGCAGCAGGCGCGCAAAUUACCCAAUCCCGACACGGGGAGGUAGUGACAAUAAAUACUGAUACAGGGCUCCUUUGGGUCUUGUAAUUGGAAUGAGUACAAUUUAAACCUCUUAACGAGGAACAAUUGGAGGGCAAGUCUGGUGCCAGCAGCCGCGGUAAUUCCAGCUCCAAUAGCGUAUAUUAAAGUUGUUGCAGUUAAAAAGCUCGUAGUUGAAACUUGGGCCUGGCUGGCGGGUCCGCCUCACCGCGUGCACUCGUCCGGCCGGGCCUUCCUUCUGAAGAACCUCAUGCCCUUCACUGGGCGUGCUGGGGAACCAGG